rnacentral:rRNA from 1 species
UACGAAGGGGGCUAGCGUUGUUCGGAAUUACUGGGCGUAAAGGGCGCGUAGGCGGCUGUGCAAGUCAGAUGUGAAAGCCCUGGGCUCAACCCAGGAUGUGCAUUUGAUACUGCACGGCUAGAGUGUCGGAGAGGAUGGUGGAAUUCCCAGUGUAGAGGUGAAAUUCGUAGAUAUUGGGAAGAACACCGGUGGCGAAGGCGGCAUUCUGGACCGAUAUUGACGCUGAGGAGCGAAAGCCAGGGGAGCAAACGGG